rnacentral:rRNA from 1 species
CAAAGGAAUUGACGGGGCCCGCACAAGCGGUGGAGCAUGUGGUUUAAUUCGAUGAUACGCGAGGACCUUACCAAGACUUAAAUGGGAAAUGACAGAUUUAGAAAUAGAUCCUUCUUCGGACAUUUUCAAGGUGCUGCAUGGUCGUCGUCAGCUCGUGCCGUGAGGUGUUAGGUUAAGUCCUGCAACGAGCGCAACCCCUGUCACUAGUUGCUAACAUUAAGUUGAGGACUCUAGUGAGACUGCCUACGCAAGUAGAGAGGAAGGUGGGGAUGACGUCAAAUCAUCACGGCCCUUACGUCUUGGGCCACACACGUGCUACAAUGGCCGAUACAGAGGGCAGCUACCUAGUGAUAGGAUGCAAAUCUCGAAAGCCGGUCUCAGUUCGGAUUGGAGUCUGCAACUCGACUCUAUUAAGCUGGAAUCGCUAGUAAUCGCGCAUCAGCCAUGGCGCGGUGAAUACGUUCCCGGGCCUUGUACACACCGCCCGUCAAGCCAUGGAAGCUGGGGGUACCUGAAGUCGGUGACCGUAAAAGGAGCUGCCUAGGGUAAAACUAGUAACUAGGGCUAAGUCGUAACAAGGUAACCA